GCCCGUGCGGAGGGCCUAAACAUGCAGUCGAGCGGUAGCACAGAGAGCUUGCUCUCGGGUGACGAGCGGCGGACGGGUGAGUAAUGUCUGGGAAACUGCCUGAUGGAGGGGGAUAACUACUGGAAACGGUAGCUAAUACCGCAUAAUGUCGCAAGACCAAAGUGGGGGACCUUCGGGCCUCAUGCCAUCAGAUGUGCCCAGAUGGGAUUAGCUAGUAGGUGGGGUAACGGCUCACCUAGGCGACGAUCCCUAGCUGGUCUGAGAGGAUGACCAGCCACACUGGAACUGAGACACGGUCCAGACUCCUACGGGAGGCAGCAGUGGGGAAUAUUGCACAAUGGGCGCAAGCCUGAUGCAGCCAUGCCGCGUGUAUGAAGAAGGCCUUCGGGUUGUAAAGUACUUUCAGCGGGGAGGAAGGCGAUAAGGUUAAUAACCUUGUCGAUUGACGUUACCCGCAGAAGAAGCACCGGCUAACUCCGUGCCAGCAGCCGCGGUAAUACGGAGGGUGCAAGCGUUAAUCGGAAUUACUGGGCGUAAAGCGCACGCAGGCGGUCUGUCAAGUCGGAUGUGAAAUCCCCGGGCUCAACCUGGGAACUGCAUUCGAAACUGGCAGGCUAGAGUCUUGUAGAGGGGGGUAGAAUUCCAGGUGUAGCGGUGAAAUGCGUAGAGAUCUGGAGGAAUACCGGUGGCGAAGGCGGCCCCCUGGACAAAGACUGACGCUCAGGUGCGAAAGCGUGGGGAGCAAACAGGAUUAGAUACCCUGGUAGUCCACGCCGUAAACGAUGUCGAUUUGGAGGUUGUGCCCUUGAGGCGUGGCUUCCGGAGCUAACGCGUUAAAUCGACCGCCUGGGGAGUACGGCCGCAAGGUUAAAACUCAAAUGAAUUGACGGGGGCCCGCACAAGCGGUGGAGCAUGUGGUUUAAUUCGAUGCAACGCGAAGAACCUUACCUGGUCUUGACAUCCACAGAACUUACCAGAGAUGGCUUGGUGCCUUCGGGAACUGUGAGACAGGUGCUGCAUGGCUGUCGUCAGCUCGUGUUGUGAAAUGUUGGGUUAAGUCCCGCAACGAGCGCAACCCUUAUCCUUUGUUGCCAGCGGUUCGGCCGGGAACUCAAAGGAGACUGCCAGUGAUAAACUGGAGGAAGGUGGGGAUGACGUCAAGUCAUCAUGGCCCUUACGACCAGGGCUACACACGUGCUACAAUGGCAUAUACAAAGAGAAGCGACCUCGCGAGAGCAAGCGGACCUCAUAAAGUAUGUCGUAGUCCGGAUUGGAGUCUGCAACUCGACUCCAUGAAGUCGGAAUCGCUAGUAAUCGUAGAUCAGAAUGCUACGGUGAAUACGUUCCCGGGCCUUGUACACACCGCCCGUCACACCAUGGGAGUGGGUUGCAAAAGAAGUAGGUAGCUUAACCUUCGGGAGGGCGCUACCACUUUUUGAAUUCCAAAAAGG
rnacentral:rRNA from 1 species